GGCUUAUGUAUGUACAAUAUAUAUAGUUACGGAUUAGACUAGAAUAUUGUUAAUAACACCGAGUCAUUAACGCUAUUAGAUUUUUAGUUCUUGGAUAAAGAAAUAUGUAGUUAGAAUGAUAGUGGUUCCCUAGAAUAAUUGAAUAGUAUGGUCUUAGGAAUGAAAAUAAUCAAAGAGAUAGAUCUAAAAGUGAAAAACUUGUUAGUAUUAAAUGUUUGAUGCUAUUGAUAACGACAUUGUAGCAGGAUUGAUUAUGUUACUUAUGUGUAUGUAUAUUAAUGUCCUUGGGAAA
rnacentral:lncRNA from 1 species